GACGAACGCUGGCGGCGUGCUUAACACAUGCAAGUCGAACGGAAAGGCCUCUUUCGGGGGGUACUCGAGUGGCGAACGGGUGAGUAACACGUGAGUAACCUGCCCUUGACUUUGGGAUAACUUCAGGAAACUGGGGCUAAUACCGGAUAGGAGCUCCUGCUGCAUGGUGGGGGUUGGAAAGUUUCGGUGGUUGGGGAUGGACUCGCGGCUUAUCAGCUUGUUGGUGGGGUAGUGGCUUACCAAGGCUUUGACGGGUAGCCGGCCUGAGAGGGUGACCGGCCACAUUGGGACUGAGAUACGGCCCAGACUCCUACGGGAGGCAGCAGUGGGGAAUAUUGCACAAUGGGUGGAAGCCUGAUGCAGCAACGCCGUGUGCGGGAUGACGGCCUUCGGGUUGUAAACCGCUUUCGCUCAUGACGAAGCUUUGUGUGACGGUAGUGGGUAAAGAAGCACCGGCUAACUACGUG
rnacentral:rRNA from 1 species